UAACAAGUGAUUGGAAACCACUAUAUAUAAUUUUUUUUAUAUUAUAUUAUAUAUAGUAAUUUGAAAUAAAUAAAUAAUUUAUAAUUAGUGUUAUAAUUUUAAUUUUAAUUAAAAAAUCAAAUCAGUAAUCGAGGUCUACUCCUCUUAAGUUAG
rnacentral:rRNA from 1 species